CAAAAUGAUGAAUAUGUUCCUACAUUUUUUUCUGUCCGGUGAACCGUGAUCCAAUGGAUAAACUAACAUGCAUCACCAUCUGAUU
rnacentral:snoRNA from 1 species